rnacentral:rRNA from 1 species
UACGUAGGUGGCGAGCGUUGUCCGGAAUUAUUGGGCGUAAAGGGCGUGUAGGCGGGAUAUUAAGUCUUAAGUAUAAAUGCGGGGCUCAACUCCGUAUUGCUUCAGAAACUGAUAUUCUUGAGUUAAGGAGAGGAAAGUGGAAUUCCCAGUGUAGCGGUGAAAUGCGUAGAGAUUGGGAGGAACACCAGUGGCGAAGGCGGCCAUCUGGAUCAACACUGACGCUGAGGCACGAAAGCGUGGGGAGCAAACAGG